AACUGCUAAACAGUGGAGGUAGUUGUGUGGGGCGUUUGGAGUGUCAAAGGCUUGAUUGUAAGAGUUACUACUCGAGCAAGGAUGCAAGCCGGUCUUAAUGAUCCGACAGUUCUUAGUGGAAAGGCUGUCGCUUAAC
rnacentral:ncRNA from 1 species